rnacentral:lncRNA from 1 species
CUCUUUCUGCUUGGACUCGAUGGUCUUGUCCUUUUUCGGCAGAACAUUGUCACGGAGGUUCUCCAUCCGGGCCUUCGCAUUCUUCAACUUAUCAAGAGCUUUCUCGCUCUCCUUGUACUUUGCAUCGAGUUGAUUAUAACGCUCUUGUAUCUUCUCGACGUCACGGAUUGAGUCUCCGUGAUAACUAGCAUGUGCCAUGUAACACGCGGCAUUCAUAUGCUUCAGCAGUUCAGCCCGACACCAAGCCCCAGGAUGCCCCAAGAGGAGUGACAUCGCUUCCCUUCUAGUUUCAGUACUGGCCAUAAAGUCGGGAAGGG